rnacentral:tRNA from 1 species
GAGUAGCUCAGCUGGCAGAGCGGGUGACUGUUAAUCACUAGGUCGGGGGUUCGAAUCCCUCCUC